AAUUCUCCAUUUAAAAAUCGCAUUUCAAAAUUAACAAAUUUCUAAAAACCUUUCAAAAAUCAGGUGCUAAUUAAAUUUAUUAAAUAUUAAUUAUAAUAUAGUAUAAUUAAUUUACUUACCCACCUCACCUCACUUUCAACUCCACCCACGCAUCACAUCAAACUCUUUUAUUUCUCUCUCCAACCUAGCCCACCCCAAUCUUGGCGACUUCUCCGGUGACGGCUCCAACAACAAUUCUGGCGACUGUUACGAUGACAAUUCUGACAACCGCUCUGGAGACAAUCUGACGACCUCCCAACGAUGCUCCGACAACCGUUCGACGAAAAUUUCGAUGACAGGUCACUUUUCUGACGACUACCUUUUUUCUUCUUUUUUUGGCAAUGACCUGUUACCAGUUCCAUUAGAUCUGUGAUUAGUUCUAUUGAAUCUGUGACCUAAUUAAGUGGGAUGAAUAUGCAUAUGAUUAAUUUCAAUAUUCAGAAAUAAAGUUUGAAAUUUCACAUGUUAUUUGUGACCAUACCUGUAUGAUAUAUGACCAAUUCACUGACUUAUGUUACCUGAGGAUCACCAUGACCAACUUUGCUUUCGAUGUAACUAAUUGUAACCAAAUUUGUAUUCAUUGUGACUUUCUAUGAUCAGAUCAAUCUCAGGUCACAACUGGUCAUAAUCAAUACAAAAUUAGUCACAAACAGUCACAAUCAGAUCUCGAACUGAAAAAAUAAGCUCUCCAACCACCACAACAGAUCUGUUCGAAAAAAUAAUAACCACCACUACUACAACAUCUUUAACUCAAAUUGAUGACCAUAAAUACUACAUUCACCUCAAAUCCACAACAAUCAUCACUACCAUAACUUUCACCAACCCUUCAAAAAACACCAACCAACACCACCACACUUCUCUCAUGAAACUCCGGUGAGAG
rnacentral:lncRNA from 1 species